rfam:Nippostrongylus brasiliensis genome assembly, scaffold: NBR_scaffold0000181
GUCUCAGUAGCAUAGUGAUUAACGCACGGCCCCGCUUAGGCGCGAGACGCAGGUUUGAAUCCCGCCUGAGAUG